ensembl:lncRNA
GAAACCACAAAGCUUACAAGCCAAGUCCAGAGUGGCAAAAUCACAAUUUGGAAUCAACAGGAAUCUGAGAGAGGGUGGAGAAGGAAGAAGACAGAGCAAAGAAGCAGAGCAGCAGAGCUUAGGGAGAGGAGGAUCAGGAGCAGAUGCAGCCUUACCCCUCUGGAAGUGUCUGCCUUGGAACUGCUGCUCAUGGUGGCAUCACUAGCCACAGAAACAGCAGACAUUACUGCAAAACCCUUGCAAUGCACCUGCUAAGACUGGUACCAGUCCACAAGUAGUGACCUGACCCUUUCCCAUUUAGUUAGGUAAGUAACUUCAUCUGGUAUAAAGGUCUAAGCAAGCCUACUAGCGUCUCUAGCUUAAA